UUGCUGUCUGUUAUUUUCGACUGUCUGUGAGGCCGUGAUCAGGUCCUGGCUCUGUGGGUGUGGCCUAAGAAGAUAUCUGAUGUUGAAUGGCCUGUUUGGUUUUGGCGAUUAAAGAGAUGUUUGACCCUUGUCAUAUCUAUCACGUUCCAGUGCUUUGAGGUGGGGGAGGCAUCCACAGCAGGACCCGCUGCUCGUUGAGAAGAGCAGAACCAUCCAUCCAUCUUCUUUCGCUUCUCCGAAAAUGCAUCUUACCUCACAACUCCUGACGUGUUCCUCAGGACGGAGGCGGCAAAACUCUGCGUGACUCCCACCAGGCUGGUGCCAUCCACCUCCACUAUCUGGUCGUUCACUCUGAUCCUAACACAUGGACAUCAAAAUCACUGAAGCAGCUGAUCCAAAACUUCUUUGAAACUCGGAGACAGAGGAAAUGAGGCGCAUGGAGGUCUAACAAGGACACCGAGCCACAACACAGCUGGCAUUUCUUCUCCACCCUGGACAGACUAGAUGAACACCACUAUUCCUAGCAACAACAGAAUUGUGAGUAACAUGCAUUUGAAUCGUCAAGUAUACACACAAAGAUCAUUACCAAGUGUUGACAUUUCUUUACAGUAGGGAUGUAUACGUGUUUUUUAGUAGCAGUUCUUAAUUAGGUCGACGUAGGAGGACUAGGGAAUGGAAAUCUGGUUCCCUCUGUUUUGUUUCCUUGGAAUCAUGUGCCAGUUUUGUAACGUCGCCAUGCACGGCGCCAAAGCAGCACACAAGUUGGAGAGAGAUUGACGAGAAAGGAUGACAACAAGACAACUUGCAAUGCUUGCAAAGUAGAUAUUUCAUCCAAGAGAGGAAAUGCUAGCCAAAACCUUAUCACACAGAGAAUGUGAAAACUUGAGUGAAAGACGCCUUUUCGAUUCCGUCCAAGCCGGAUGUGACUCUCCGCCAGCAGCAAUGUCAUCACGUCGUUUGCUGUUAAUAACUAACUAACUAGCACUGCCUGUGGUGUUAGCACCUCUGUGUAAAAGCCGCUUUAAUAACUGUAAACAUGAAAUCAUACUUAUCAUGCAAAUCGUCACCAAACAGCCAACAUGCUCCUUCUGUCAGAGAAGUCUUCGACAAAGCGCAGACACCCUAAUUAGUCAGAAAAAUCUCAUAUCCUUCCUGAAAAAAAGUGAUAAGCUUAUUUUUCUGCAAAAUGAUAGUUCAUGUUUAUAAUAAUAAUAAUAAUAAUGAAUUGCAUUUGUAACGCACUUUACAUUUGUUAAAAUCUCAAAGUGCUACAAAGUAUAAAAAUGAAAGAAUAGAAAGGAAGAAUAUAUAAUAAAAAAAUUAAAAUAAUAAAUGAAAUCAUGACACACAACAUAGAUAAAAAAAAGAAAUAAAAGCAUGAAAGCACUGCAUAAAAAACAGAUAAGCAAGCAGUGCAUUUAAAAACAAGAAGGCAGAGAAAUUAGAUAAAAGCUGUGCUAAAAAUGUGGGUUUUUAGUCCCUUCUUAAAAUAUUUAUAGCUGAUGGUUGCAGAAAUGCACAAGCAAACUUUUAUUGGACUUGACUUGCUCAUAUUUGUUUACUAGCUGGCAUACUUUUACUUUUGAAAUAAUCAUUUGAUGUAAUAUUUUGAUCACUUCUACAGUAGACUAUUCAUGUUGUUCUUAUAUUUGAGUUAUUUUCAAAAAGACCCUGGCACCCCAUGGGGGGUUGUCCGCCACACUGUUGAGUUUGUACCUUCAAACCAAACAAGGUUAACGCUAAUCAACUUGUUUGUUACGCUUUUCAUGCAAAUGACAAUUGGUAAGAGAACCGAUGGAGAACCGAAUCAUUAAGCAGAAUCAAAAGUAGAAUUGGAGCAAGAAAAAUCUUAUCAAUUCUCAUCCCUCAGGAGGAUCGUUAAGAUUCUGGACAAAUGAUACGGCUAUCUGUAUUGCUUAGCCACCACCGACUCGUAGAACAUCUUCAACAUCUUUGUACAGACGUUGAAGGAUCCUAACCUCCUGAGGAAGUAGAGGCGGCUCUGUCCCUUAUUGUAGAGUGCCUCCGCGUCUUUUGACCCAUUCAACUUGUUGUCCAUGUGUACACCGAGGUAUUUAUAAUCCUCAACCAUGCCCACCCUGAUGGAAACAGGGGUCGCCAGAGUA